GCUCAAACCAUAAACACUUGCCUUUCGUUUCUGCAUUCAGUACGAGUCUCGUCUGUCUGGAUGAAAGCAGAGGAGAGGGAUAAUGUGUUGCGUUUAAGUGGACGAAUUAAGCAAUCUAAUGCAAAAUAAUUUCUUUCUGAACCUGGACCUUUUUAACAAUGCACACUUGGCGGAGCUACGUCGCCAUUAUAUUUGUACUUGUUUGGUACUUCUCAGAGUUUGGACAAAUAUGGACACAAGCCUUCUUUUGUUUUUUAUGCUUUUUAAAUUUCCCUUUCAAAAAGCAAGACCGUGAAACAAGCACUCAGACGGAUGAUACAUCUGAAGAAACAGAACGACAGAAAAAGAAAGGUCACCAUGUUGGUGUCACUGAUGAGAUUGAUGCUACCAGAACUGGACAAACUGUGUCUCAGGCAAUGCAAUAUCCAAAUGUACAGAGGUCACUUCUCCAGGUCUUUAAAUGUGCCUAUGCUCACCUGGUCCAGCCGUGGUACACGGUCCCAGAAUUUGGCGACAGUCAGCCCCUUCAUAGGACACUACAGAGGGAGUUUAACCUGGUUGUCGAGAGAGUCAUUUGCAAGGCAAUGAACUUCGAUCUGUCUGUUACCAGUGUGGGUUGUAUUAGGAUCUUCACUCAGCACCUGCGUAAUGCAAAGCAGUCAGAUGGCACAGCAACUGGGCCUUAUGAUUCUUGAGCUCAUAUUUUAAAAUCAAAGAAUUUCUGCCAAAACUCAUGGACUUUCUAUCCUAACCUAUGACUGAUCACCUGAUGCAGUUCCAGGAAUACUGCUAAUAAAAUGAGUCAUUAUGAAAACUGUCUUGUUUAUUUGUUUAUCUGUUUCAGUUCUCCAGUGUUCGGUUCAAGAUCUGAGGAGAUGGCAGUCCUCAGAACCUUCUCUGAAGCUCUGGUGCGAAACCUUUUUCCUGAGUACCUUUGGGAAGCAAAACUCUACCGGUGUGUCCUAAUUGAGAUUGUUGCUACAAAAGGUUAGUCCUACUGAGCUUUGUGCUAAAUCAUUUCUAAUGAUCUUUCUAAUGAUCAGAA
rnacentral:lncRNA from 1 species